rnacentral:rRNA from 1 species
CCUACGGGAGGCAGCAGUAAGGAAUAUCGGUCAAUGGGGGGCAACCCUGAACCAGCCAUGCCGCGUGCAGGACGACUGCCCUAUGGGUUGUAAACUGCCUUUGUUAGGGAAUAAACCCCACUACGUGUAGUGGGCUGAAUGUACCUAAAGAAUAAGGAUCGGCUAACUCCGUGCCAGCGGCCGCGGUAAUACGGAGGAUCCGAGCGUUAUCCGGAUUUAUUGGGUUUAAAGGGUGCGUAGGCGGCACUUUAAGUCAGGGGUGAAAGACGGCAGCUCAACUGUCGCAGUGCCCUUGAUACUGAAGUGCUUGAAUGCGGUUGAAGACGGCGGAAUGAGACAAGUAGCGGUGAAAUGCAUAGAUAUGUCUCAGAACACCGAUUGCGAAGGCAGCUGUCUAAGCCGUUAUUGACGCUGAUGCACGAAAGCGUGGGGAUCGAACAGGAUUAGAUACCCUGGUAGUCCACGCCCUAAACGAUGAUGACUCGAUGUUUGCGAUAUACCGUAAGCGUCCAAGCGAAAGCGUUAAGUCAUCCACCUGGGGAGUACGCCCGCAAGGGUGAAACUCAAAGGAAUUGACGG